rnacentral:sRNA from 2 species
CCAACUUGCUAUGACCCUCCGCUUUAAGGGCCUCGAGGCGAUCAGGAAUCUAUCUCUCCCACCUGCAGUAUCCCAUAUACAAUCGGGUUCUUCUUCCCGGGUGUUCAGCAGCAGCGAGGCAAGCUCAACAGAUCCACCGAACGUGGCCAUGCCUAGCCUUCUCUAAGCGGCUACUAACCCUCAAAUCAACUCUUGAAGAACGCGUCAAUAGCUUCUUACAGAGACGACGGUAGCUAUGGUGAGUCGCUUCUUUUCUCAACCCACUCUGCCUCCACAGAAAAAAAAAAAAGAAAAAAAAAACCAAAGGAACCCGACUCUCACCCCCCAAUCAGCCAAGCCGAGUGGGGUUGUCAAAAAGUAGUACGGAGUACUUUGUGAUCAAAGCCGCGCUGCCUUCUUGAGCAUUUCACUGCAUGCUGCGCAAUUGGAACAUCUCUGUAGUAGUCUCAGAGAGACAUAACUCGGACAAGACACCGGGAACUGUGCAAGGGAUAGCUCCGAUGAUUCUUCAUGGUGGAAAAAUGUUAGUUCACUGGCGCAAAAGAGAGCCCGAUCAGCCACCAGCGCCAUGCCGGUAGUAGAAGGGACAAACUAAUCCAAACCCCCAUGAGCAAAGUCCCCCGCUCACCUUAUCUUGCCUUCCCCCAUCUCUCCAUGCAAGCCUGAGGUUUGAAAAAAGUGGUUGGAUAACAGGGGAUGUCGGGCUAGUUAUUCUAUAUUCUAAAUUGAGACUAAUUGGAACUAUUUUGGCCUGUAGUGUUUUUUUUUUUUUCCCUUGGUAAUUCCCUCCUUCCCUACCUCUGUAACUAACUACCCAAGAUUAGCCACAUGUUCGUAAAGAAGUAGUUAUUGAGAGCUUUCCGAAACAUUUGGCCCUUUGACUACCACCUGUAGAUUUGUAGCCAUCACUAUUGAUUUGCCUGGCAGAUCGACCUGUAGUUCUCCAUUGAUUAUCCAUCUGUAUAGGGCGAGGUCACUGCACCACGA